CUGAUAUGGCUCAGUUGGUAGAGCGCAUCCUUGGUAAGGAUGAGGUCCCCAGUUCGACUCUGGGUAUCAGCACCA
rnacentral:tRNA from 1 species